ensembl:lncRNA
AAACAACUGAAUUUUAUUGGGAGAACACAAGGGUUCUUUAAAAUGCAAGAAACAGAAGCAGCAAACACAUUGUAAAGACACAGCAAUGAGGAUAGCAGAAAAGUAUCACACCGAGUUGGUAUGGCCAGGGAACUCAGUCACACAGUAAACAGAGGGUGAGGGAAGGUCUCCGAGAAAAGGUUCCUACUGGAAAGGCUACUCAGCCUGAGACCUCGGCGGUCACCCUGUAGAAUACACGGACAGGACAGACACAUCUGGACACGUCUCCACAUGUACAGUAUUUCAAAAGAUUUCUUGAGUAAGCACAAAAGCACACGUUGUAAACAAGGAAAACAACCCAAAGUCCAACCUAAUGCCAAAGUCACAGUACCCCGACAUCAAUUUCUGGUCACAUGACAAGUAGCUGAUGUCACAGGCCCCAUCUCUGAGUCGAAGUCCUUCAGGUGAAGUUCAUGGGUUCUGGAGAACCGCUGUGAGUCUAGGAAAGUCAACACCCUGUGGACUAAAAGUUAUCCUUACACACGGCCAAUGCUAAGGCUCCAUAUAAGUGGAAAGUCCAAGGCCCAAAAGAAUCCACACGCAGUCAACGCUGUUACCCCUUUAACCAUGGAGAAGCAGUCUUCCCUUCAGUCCUAAAGCUAAAGACAUUUUGGAGGGAGCGCUCAUCUGUAGUCACGGGUGGGCCUUUAAUAUUAUUUUCUGAAACCACUUUCUUGAGGGAUGAAGGAAAGAAUGACCCAAAAGAGCUGUACAUAUUUAAUGUAUAUGAUUUAAAGACUGUGGAAAUAGGUAGACAUCUGUGAACCAUUACCAAAACCUGUGCCAUGAACAGACCCAUCCCCUCCAAAGUUUCCUUCCACCCUCUAAUAAUAAUAAUAAUAAUAAUAAUUACCAUUAUUAUUAUUUUGUGUAAUAAGAAGACAACAUAGAAUGGACACACGUAGCAAAUCUUUCAGUACCCAGCCCAUCUCUCCUGGGCUCUGGAGAAGUGGCCCAGCUGCGUGGUCCCCGGCUUUAACCAUAUUUCACACACGGCAGCUCAGCAACGCCCCCACGACAACAGUCCCCCAGUUGAUCCGAGAGCUGGCUCGACCACGGGCCUUUCGGCACUCUGGAAGGCCGCUGUGUCUGACUGCUGGGGGACACUGAGAAAGGCAGUGACUCCCCCCAGGAUUCACUGCACAGCGCCCACGGCUGUUCUCUGAAGUGGAGAAGCAGCAGCACGCUAGGUCUGCGCAUGAAGAAGGAGAGGCAAGGGAAGCUCAGAAGGCCAAGGCAAAUAUCAACGUGGAGCUGGCCCGACCGGCCACCCUCGGGAAUCCACACACUGUGCUCCUGGAGUCAGCACGAUGGACUGAGAGGGCAAACUCGAAUCCCGCGGGGUCUAGAGGAGAUCAUUCAAAUGGUAUGGGAGUGCCCACAUUUGCACAUUCUUUCCACCCUUUUGAGAGGACAGCACACGAACUAGCCAUAAAACAGGAUCAGAGUCCUCUCCUCCUACCAAGUGUCAUGUCACCUCUUGUGUGUCACAACACACAGAGAUCAACCCUCUGACUUCACCUGCAGACAAACUCAGUUCGCUGGGAAAACGGAAAAUGACAGUUGUCACCACAAUAAACAUCUUAACUUGACAAGGGAGCCAUAUUAUCUCAUAUCACGUCCAUCAGUGUCCACUGUGACCUUCUGGCCCACGGAUAAGAUGACCCAAAGGUAGUGCGGGAGAAUGUAUGUAGGGGACACGAGACACAGCCCUGAACCCACGAUGCCCAUCACAGCUGUCACACCAAAGUCCCUUUUCCUUCACACUCUCAAUUUUUCAUUCUACUCUCACAGUGUGCUUAUAUCUCCACUCGGCACUUAUGUGCCCGCCUCAGACUUCAGCAAUGGAGAGAAAUCAACAGCGAAAUAUAGGAAAACCAGAGGAGGCGGGCACAUAAGUGCCGAGUGGAGAUAUAAGCACACUGUGAGAGUAGAAUGAAAAAUUGAGAGUGUGAAGGAAAAGGGACUUUGGUGUGACAGCUGUGAUGGGCAUCGUGGGUUCAGGGCUGUGUCUCGUGUCCCCUACAUACAUUCUCCCGCACUACCUUUGGGUCAUCUUAUCCGUGGGCCAGAAGGUCACAGUGGACACUGAUGGACGUGAUAUGAGAUAAUAUGGCUCCCUUGUCCAGUUAAGAUGUUUAUUGUGGUGACAACUGUCAUUUUCCGUUUUCCCAGCGAACUGAGUUUGUCUGCAGGUGAAGUCAGAGGGUUGAUCUCUGUGUGUUGUGACACACAAGAGGUGACAUGACACUUGGUAGGAGGAGAGGACUCUGAUCCUGUUUUAUGGCUAGUUCGUGUGCUGUCCUCUCAAAAGGGUGGAAAGAAUGUGCAAAUGUGGGCACUCCCGUACCAUUUGAAUGAUCUCCUCUAGACCCCGCGGGAUUCGAGUUUGCCCUCUCAGUCCAUCGUGCUGACUCCAGGAGCACAGUGUGUGGAUUCCCGAGGGUGGCCGGUCAGGCCAGCUCCACGUUGAUAUUUGCCUUGGCCUUCUGAGCUUCCCUUGCCUCUCCUUCUUCAUGCGCAGACCUAGCGUGCUGCUGCUUCUCCACUUCAGAGAACAGCCGUGGGCGCUGUGCAGUGAAUCCUGGGGGGAGUCACUGCCUUUCUCAGUGUCCCCCAGCAGUCAGACACAGCGGCCUUCCAGAGUGCCGAAAGGCCCGUGGUCGAGCCAGCUCUCGGAUCAACUGGGGGACUGUUGUCGUGGGGGCGUUGCUGAGCUGCCGUGUGUGAAAUAUGGUUAAAGCCGGGGACCACGCAGCUGGGCCACUUCUCCAGAGCCCAGGAGAGAUGGGCUGGGUACUGAAAGAUUUGCUACGUGUGUCCAUUCUAUGUUGUCUUCUUAUUACACAAAAUAAUAAUAAUGGUAAUUAUUAUUAUUAUUAUUAUUAGAGGGUGGAAGGAAACUUUGGAGGGGAUGGGUCUGUUUAUGGCACAGGUUUUGGUAAUGGUUCACAGAUGUCUACCUAUUUCCACAGUCUUUAAAUCAUAUACAUUAAAUAUGUACAGCUCUUUUGGGUCAUUCUUUCCUUCAUCCCUCAAGAAAGUGGUUUCAGAAAAUAAUAUUAAAGGCCCUCCCCUGACUACAGAUGAGCGCUCCCUCUCAAAUGUCUUUAGCUUUAGGACUGAAGGGAAGACUGCUUCUCCAUGGUUAAAGGGGUAACGGCGUUGACUGCGUGUGGAUUCUUUUGGGCCUUGGACUUUCCACUUAUAUGGAGCCUUAGCAUUGGCCGUGUGUAAGGAUAACUUUUAGUCCACAGGGUGUUGACUUUCCUAGACUCACAGCGGUUCUCCAGAACCCAUGAACUUCACCUGAAGGACUUCGACUCAGAGAUGGGGCCUGUGACAUCAGCUACUUGUCAUGUGACCAGAAAUUGAUGUCGGGGUACUGUGACUUUGGCAUUAGGUUGGACUUUGGGUUGUUUUCCUUGUUUACAACGUGUGCUUUUGUGCUUACUCAAGAAAUCUUUUGAAAUACUGUACAUGUGGAGACGUGUCCAGAUGUGUCUGUCCUGUCCGUGUAUUCUACAGGGUGACCGCCGAGGUCUCAGGCUGAGUAGCCUUUCCAGUAGGAGCCUUUUCUCGGAGACCUUCCCUCACCCUCUGUUUACUGUGUGACUGAGUUCCCUGGCCAUACCAACUCGGUGUGAUACUUUUCUGCUAUCCUCAUUGCUGUGUCUUUACAAUGUGUUUGCUGCUUCUGUUUCUUGCAUUUUAAAGAACCCUUGUGUUCUCCCAAUAAAAUUCACUUGUUUCAGAAGA